GAUGAACGCUGACAGAAUGCUUAACACAUGCAAGUCAACUUGAACUUCGGUUUGGGUGGCGGACGGGUGAGUAACGCGUAAAGAACUUGCCUCACAGCUAGGGACAACAUUUGGAAACGAAUGCUAAUACCUGAUAUUAUGAUUUUAGGGCAUCCUAGAAUUAUGAAAGCUAUAUGCGCUGUGAGAGAGCUUUGCGUCCCAUUAGCUAGUUGGAGAGGUAACGGCUCACCAAGGCGAUGAUGGGUAGCCGGCCUGAGAGGGUGAACGGCCACAAGGGGACUGAGACACGGCCCUUACUCCUACGGGAGGCAGCAGUGGGGAAUAUUGGACAAUGGACCAAGAGUCUGAUCCAGCAAUUCUGUGUGCACGAUGAAGUUUUUCGGGAUGUAAAGUGCUUUCAGUUGGGAAGAAAAAAAUGACGGUACCAACAGAAGAAGUGACGGCUAAAUACGUG
rnacentral:rRNA from 1 species